rnacentral:rRNA from 1 species
CUCGUCAUGCCGACAGACAGUCAGUGGACAAGGGAAUAUAGGCAUUUCCACCUGGGGGAGUACGCCGGCAACCGGUGAAACUCAAAGGGAAUUGACGGGGGCCCGCACAAGCGGAGGAACAUGUGGUUUAAAUUCGAUGAUACGCGAGGAACCUUUACCCGGGCUUGAAUUGCAGAUGAAGGAUACAGAGAUGUUGACGCCCUUCGGGGCAUCUGUGAAGGUGCUGCAUGGUUGUCGUCAGCUCGUGCCGUGAGGUGUCGGCUUAAGUGCCAUAACGAGCGCAACCCUUGCUGUCAGUUGCCAUCAGGUAGAGCUGGGCACUCUGGCGGGACUGCCAUCGCAAGAUGUGAGGAAGGUGGGGAUGACGUCAAAUCAGCACGGCCCUUACGUCCGGGGCUACACACGUGUUACAAUGGGGGGUACAGAAUGUUGCUUACGGGUGACCGUUGGCGGAUCAUUAAAUCCCUUCUCAGUUCGGACUGGAGUCUGCAACCCGACUCCACGAAGCUGGAUUCGCUAGUAAUCGCGCAUCAGCCAUGGCGCGGUGAAUACGUUCCCGGGCCUUGUACACACCGCCCGUCAAGCCAUGAAAGCCGGGGGCGCCUGAAGUCCGUUACCGCAAGGAUCGGCCUAGGGCGAAACUGGUAAUUGGGGCUAAGUCGUAACAAGGUAACCGUA